rnacentral:piRNA from 1 species
UACACGUCUGCACUGCUCUGAUGGUA